rnacentral:rRNA from 1 species
UACGGAGGGGGCUAGCGUUGUCCGAAGUUACUGGGCGUAAAGCGCGCGUAGGCGGGUUGGUAAGUCCGCUGUGAAAGCCCGGAGCUCAACUCCGGAGGGUCGGUGGAUACUGCCAGUCUUGAAGGUGCUAGGGGGAGAUGGAAUUACCGGUGUAGCGGUGAAAUGCGUAGAUAUCGUGAGGAACACCAGAGGCGAAGGCGGUUACCUGGACAGUUACUGACGCUCAGGCACGAAAGCAUGGGGAGCAAAAGGG